rnacentral:lncRNA from 1 species
CUUACAUAUUUCCUCCUUCCCUUUUACAAGAUAACCCUAAGGGUUCUAAGGGUUGCAAAAGGAUGAAGGGUUGCAGAAGGAUGAAGGUCCGUCUCCUGCAAUUUUUUCAUGCUGAAUAGGGUCUAUGAUAUUCCUGCCUAACUAUUGGGGUCUCUUGUAUUUAGGGUAGAGAGGAGCUCAAUCAGAAAGCAUUAGUCCGUUAAGCAUCGGUUGUACCUCUGAGUUCCAGCAAAAGGUAAAACUCUGGCGCUCCAGCAGUUUCUCAGCUUCCUGUGUGGUUUCCUUGAUCUGUCCCCAUGGUACCUGUUAGUUCCUGCAAGUUCCUGCAAGUCUCUGUCUGUCCCUACCUAUCUCUCUUUCCUUAUCUCUAUUUCCUUAUCUCUACUUAUUUCUUAUUGUCCCUGCAGGCCUCUUCAGGUCCCUUCAGGUCUCUGUCCCUGAUAGUUCCUUUAAGUUUCUGCUAGUCUUUGCUAGUCUCUACUUUUGUAUCUCUUUAGGACACUGACCUUAUAUUGCUCUUAUAUUGCUAGUCUUUGCUAGUCUUUAUCCCUAUCUGUCCCUAUUUGUCCCUGUUCGGGCACCACUUGUGACUGACUGCCAUGGUUACUACUUGAGGCCAUCACUACAACAGUUACUACUGUUACUGCUUGAGACCAUCAUUAUGACUGAACAAAGGGAUAAACACAGAAAUGAUGACAAAAGAAACUAUUUAAAGGAAAGGCUAGCAUGGAGAAGAGGAAGAGAGCUCCCUGCUUCUAGUGAGCAAAGGCAGCCCCCCCUUGAGCUUCUACAGCCCUUCUUAUUAGGUAACAAGAGCAAGGAGGAGGAGGGAAUAUCAUGAGAAGAAUAGUUCUUGGCUAGCUUACUGGUCCCUGAAGAAGGAAAAAAGACAUGUGGAGCAUAGCUGAGAUCAGCCAAACCUCCUGUAAGAAAAUGCCCAGGAUUGCUUGUGUGUCCAAGAAAAAUGUAUUAAAUUAUUUUUCCUUACAAAGACAAUUCAUGAUCUUUACAAACGUAUUCUGUGAUUAAAGGUGUUAAAUGCACAAAAAUUUUGUCUAUUUUUCAUUUUUUAAAAACAGAAAAUGAAACAAAACUGACAUUUUAAAGGCCAUAAUACAGAUUUCAGAAACAAAUUUUAAGUGAAAACACAAGUGAAUAUUUUACUGAAUAAAAGUCUUAACGUGAAAUGAAGCUUUGUGAUAACCAAGGAUGAUAGCAUAGGAAACUCUGGUGUUCAUUUGUUGGGAUUAUGAAUGGAAAGGAAGAGAAAGGGACUUACUAGGUAGGCAUAUGAAGAGUUACCCUCAGAAAGAUAAAAGAGACCUAUUCAGUGUCUCCUAAUUUCUUCCUUUAUUUAUCUGUUCAGAAUCCAGUCUGCUUCGAGAUUCAAAGUCUUGCUGUUGAUGAUUAAUUUUCCUCCUCCAUGAAUUCUGUGUCUAUCCUUGCUAAUCAAAAUCUAGUUCAAGUUAGUAGAG